AGUGAACGCUGGCGGUAGGCCUAACACAUGCAAGUCGAACGCCGGCACGGUAAGCGCUUGCUCUUACGGGUGGCGGCGGGCGGACGGGUGAGGCAUACAUCGCCUUCCAUUUUUUGGGGGGGGAUAACGGAGGGAAAUUUCCGCUAAUACCUCAUACGACCUACGGGUUAACGCAUGGGUUCUUCGGACCUUGCCCGCUUGACUGAGCGGAUGUCGGAUUAGUUAGUUGGCGGGGUAAGGGCCCACCAAGGCGACGAUCGGUAGCUGGUCUGAGAGGAUGAUCGGCCACACGGGAACUGAGACACGGUCCAGACUCCUACGGGAGGAAGCAGUGGGGAAUAUUGGACAAUGGGGGCAAGCCUGAUCCAGCAAUACCGCGUGGGUGAAGAAGGCCUUCGGGUUGUAAAGCCCUUUUGUUGGGAAAGAAAAGCAGCAGGUUAAUACGCCGCUGUUCUGACGGUACCCAAAGAAUAAGCACCGGCUAACUUCGUG
rnacentral:rRNA from 1 species